UACGUAGGGUGCGAGCGUUGUCCGGAAUUAUUGGGCGUAAAGGGCUCGUAGGCGGUUUGUCGCGUCGGGAGUGAAAACCAGGUGCUUAACACCUGGCUUGCUUUCGAUACGGGCAGACUAGAGGUAUGCAGGGGAGAACGGAAUUCCUGGUGUAGCGGUGAAAUGCGCAGAUAUCAGGAGGAACACCGAUGGCGAAGGCAGAUCUCUGGGCCGUAACUGACGCUGAGGAGCGAAAGCGUGGGGAGCGAACAGG
rnacentral:rRNA from 1 species